rnacentral:rRNA from 1 species
UAACCUGCCCUUAACUCUGGGAUAAGCCUGGGAAACUGGGUCUAAUACCGGAUAUGACUCCUCAUCGCAUGGUGGGGGGUGGAAAGCUUUUUGUGGUUUUGGAUGGACUCGCGGCCUAUCAGCUUGUUGGUGAGGUAAUGGCUCACCAAGGCGACGACGGGUAGCCGGCCUGAGAGGGUGACCGGCCACACUGGGACUGAGACACGGCCCAGACUCCUACGGGAGGCAGCAGUGGGGAAUAUUGCACAAUGGGCGCAAGCCUGAUGCAGCGACGCCGCGUGAGGGAUGACGGCCUUCGGGUUGUAAACCUCUUUCAGUAGGGAAGAAGCGAAAGUGACGGUACCUGCAGAAGAAGCGCCGGCUAACUACGUGCCAGCAGCCGCGGUAAUACGUAGGGCGCAAGCGUUAUCCGGAAUUAUUGGGCGUAAAGAGCUCGUAGGCGGUUUGUCGCGUCUGCCGUGAAAGUCCGGGGCUCAACUCCGGAUCUGCGGUGGGUACGGGCAGACUAGAGUGAUGUAGGGGAGACUGGAAUUCCUGGUGUAGCGGUGAAAUGCGCAGAUAUCAGGAGGAACACCGAUGGCGAAGGCAGGUCUCUGGGCAUUAACUGACGCUGAGGAGCGAAAGCAUGGGGAGCGAACAGGAUUAGAUACCCUGGUAGUCCAUGCCGU